GCUGGGCACAGUGGUGCGGGCCUGUAGUCCCAGCUACUCGGGAGGCUGAGGCUGGAGGAUCCCUCGAGCCCAGGAGUUCUGGGCUGCAGUACCCUAUGCCAAUUGGGUGUCCACACUAAGUUCUACAUCAAUAUGGUGACCUCCUGGGAGCGGGGGACCACCAGGUUACCUAAGGAGGGGUGAACUGGCCCAGGUCGGAAAUAGAGCAGGUCAAAACUCCUGUACUGAUCAGUACUGGGAUUGUGCCUGUGAACAGCCAUUGCACUCCAGCCUGGGCAACACAGCAAGAUCCCGUCUCA
rnacentral:SRP_RNA from 1 species